rnacentral:misc_RNA from 1 species
UCUCUGUUGCAUUAUCUGCAGUGUCUGUUUCCAAUUAGAAUUCCGUGUCAAUAUGGCCAGGUGUUUCGCGCUUAUUUUGCUGAUUUCGGCUGUAACCAGCGCAAUUGACCUUGAGAAUACCCAGUACCUCAUCACCACGCCUUAUCAUUAUUAUAUUGACCAGAAUGAAACAAUCAACGUUCAAAUUUUUGGAACAAAACCUUGCGCAGUGAAUGUUACACUUAAAUCCAGAUAUAAUUCUCGGCUUGUCACCUCAGCGAAUGGCACCUUUGAGCCAGGAGAACGGGGAAAUCUACCAAUUUAUAUUCCAGGAAACGUUGUAACAGGUCGUCGCACAUACUAUGGAACAAAUCUAAAACUUCAAGCAAAUGUUUGUGGUAAAAAUUCGGAUGAAGUUGACGUGUUUGUUUCAGGGAGGAGAUACGACCAUAUUGUUUACAUACAAACUGAUAAGCCAAUCUAUAAUCCAGGACAAAAAGUUCGCAUGAGAAUCAUCGUACUUGACAGAAAAUUAAAACCAAAAGAAGGAAAGAUCGACAGCGUUCGUGUGAGCGUCUCAGCUUCGAGGAUUAACCAGUGGGAUAAUGUCGAACUUCAGGACGGUUUUGAAAACCUUGAACUACAGUUAUCCAAGGAGCCUGUUUUGGGACAAUAUGACAUCACAGUGAUUGUUGGUAAAAAAAGAACAACACAAAGAUUUGAAGUUUCUAAAUAUGUUUUACCAAAAUACGAAAUAAGUAUCAAACUUCCACCAUAUAUGGCUUUAGACCAGAAAGAAUUUACAACUACAAUUUGCGCUAAGUAUACUUACGGGAAAAACGUAAAAGGAAUGUUAAAUGCUUUGCUGUGUUUGAAGCACUCACCUUUUGAUUAUUGGCGGAAGAAUGAAAGAAGAUUUAGUUUUAUAAGAUGCGAAAACGUUACAAAGGAGAUUGAUGGUUGCACAGAUAUUACAGUGUCACGAGAGACUUUAAAUAUCGGGGAAAUAACUUAUAUUCACGGAGCGGAUUUUGUUGUCGAUGGUCAAGUUACUGAAACCUUAACAGGGGUCACAUUAAAAAAGAAAGCUGUAACAUAUAACUUUAGGAAACGCUCAAUUCAACUGUCAUUUCAUGGAACUUCAAGAAAAUUUAAACCAGGUUUACCAUUCUCAUAUGGGCUUAAAGUUACACAUCCUGAUAACUCGCCGGCAACGGGGGUCAAAGUUCGUGUCACAAUUGCUCGCGGCCGGAACACAGGAGCUCAAUUUUAUAACAAAACGUUUGUCGUGAAAAAUGGCUUGAUCACAGAUUCCAUCAAUCACGAAACUUACAAUGCCCGAAAUUUGGUUUUCGAGGCACAACUUCUGGGCCAAAAUCCUUAUCCAGUGAAAGUUGGAAACAAUUACUACUACAGUUUUACAAGAGCGUCGUUUUUCGCCAAACCCUGGUAUUCUCCAAGCUUCAGUUACCUCACGAUACUUCAGAAGAACACUCCAGCUAUGAUUGGCAGCGAGGCUUCUCUGACAGUACGAUACACAGCUCGUAACGACACUGGCAAUAAAGUCGAUUUUCAUUACACUGUAAUCUGUAAGGGCAAAUUUGUGAAAACUGGAAAACAUACAAAGCAUCAUGAUUUCAUCCCUGUCGAGAAACCAACUACCACAGCUAAGACAACCAGAGCGGCAACCAAUAUCGCGGACAACAACGGUACAUUUCCAUCCGUUGUGACACCCACGCAUGACCCAAUUAAAAAAUUGAAUACAAUACCACUCGUUAAGAAAUUUGAUAUCGAAUUCCCAGUGACAAUGGAAAUGGUGCCUUCGUGUCAGGUAAUGGUGUAUUACGUGAGAAAAGACAAGGAAGUUGUUGCUGAUAGUGUGGAGUUUGAUGUAGAAGAUAGACUAGAAAACCAGGUGUCGGUGAGCUUUGUGGAGAAGGAACUGAAGCCGGGAGAAAAAACGAAGCUGAUAUUGAAAGCUUCGCCCGGAUCACGCGUGGCGUUUGUGGCCGUGGACAAGAGCAUUCACAUUUUGAAAUCUGGGAACGAGUUUACAAAGGGUAAGAUCCGUCCAUACCUUUGGGAGCAUCGAAGGGCAACAUGGACUUCUAACCCAAAGUGUAGCCAUUCGGGAUACUCGUGGAGAAGAGAAUACGACGACGCCUCGGUGGCCUUUGAUGUAACUGGUCUCGUUUUCCUCUCGAAUCUUCGUAUUGUUACAAGACCAUGUCCAAAACCGGAUUAUCGUAUGGGACCCUCUACGGAAGCUCCAGAAGUCGUUACGGAAGCUCCAGAAAGCGAAUAUCGUGAAAGAGAAAUACUGGCAAAACAAAAGCCGUUCAAAAUUCGCAAAGAGUUCCCAGAGACAUGGUUAUGGUCGGAUGAAAAACUCGAUGAAUCAGGCAACAAGACAGUUGAAGUAACUGUGCCAGGUACAAUUACAAGUUGGGUGGCAAAUGCUUUCGCUAUUUCGUCGAAGACAGGUAUCGGAGUUUCAGAAACUUCAACACUCAGAGCUAUUCAACCGUUCUUUGUUUCAAUGACGCUACCAUACUCCGUCAUCCGAGGAGAAGAGAUUCCAGUCAUCGUAACUGUGUUUAAUUAUCUGCCUAGUUGUGCAGCGAUAAAAUUAGAAUUGAAGCGCAAGCAGGCCGACUACAAAGUGACAUCGUAUCAUAUCAACAAACUCUGCGUUUGUGGCAGCGAAGGAAAAUCAGUGAAGUUCACAAUCAUUCCUAUUAACCUCGGACACAUUCCUCUCACGGUCACGGCAACUACGUCAUCGGCCAAACUCUGUUCUAAUAAAACAAUUCCAGUCCACGAUGCCGUUACACGAAAACUACUCGUCGAGGCUGAAGGUAUCAAAAGGGAGUUCACUCAGGGAACAUUCUUCUGUCCAGGAAACAAGAAACACAAGGAAGAGUUUAACCUCAGGGUACCUGCGAAUUACAUACCAGGAUCAAUAUACCCAACAGUGACUAUUAUAGGUGACAUCAUGGGAGCAGCAAUGACGAAUCUAAAGGAUCUAUUGCGCAUGCCCUAUGGCUGUGGUGAACAAAAUAUGGCAAAUUUCGCACCCAAUAUCUACAUCAUGGAUUACUUGACUCAGACGAACCAAGUGACAGAAGGAAUCAAGAGUAAAGCCGAAAACUUUAUGAAAGUUGGUUAUCAAAGAGAAUUGAUUUACAAAAGAAAAAGUGGCUCGUACAGUACGUUUGGCAAUUCUGACAGUCAAGGAAGUAUGAUGUUGACCGCGUUUGUACUUCGAUCAUUUGCUCGAGCGAUGAAAUAUAUUUUUGUUGAUGAUGCCAAAAUUGAACACAGUUUCCGAUGGCUCCGCAGCAAACAAUUGAAUAUUGGAUGUUUCCCACAGUACGGAAAAGUGUUCCAUAGAAGACUACAGGGAGGCGUGAACAGCGAACUUACAAUGACAGCCUAUGUGACCAUAGCCCUUUUGGAAGCUGGAGAAACAACAAAUAGCAUCAUGGUGUCCAAAGCUCUCAAGUGUAUCGUAAAUCGACUUGACACGAUCACUGAUACUUAUUCAACUGCCCUUGUGACGUAUGCCUUGACUUUAGCAAACCAUACUGACGCUCAGAGGAUGCUCAGAAUAUUGAAAAAUAAGGCAACCAAAGAAGAGGGUCAAAUGUACUGGGGAAUUGGAAACAAGCGUACGGAGAGUCUAAGAUAUUACUAUCAGCGAUCAUCAGCCGACGUAGAAACGACAGCAUAUGCCUUGCUUUCAAUUUUACAUCAAACGCCAAAUUAUGAAAGCGUAGUAAAUAAUGAAAUUAUGGACAUUAUUCAUUGGUUAUCAAGACAAAGAAACUCUCAAGGCGGAUUUUAUUCAACACAGGACACUUGUGUUGCUCUACAAGCGUUAGCCGAGUUUGCAGGACGAGCUUAUGGGGAUAGCGCUGAUUUUAGUUCAAGUCAGUUAACGGGAUCUUUGAAGAUGGGUGAUCACUACAACCACAACUUCGUGGUAACAAUAGCGAAUAAACUGAUAUUACAAACUGUUGAGCUUCCUCAGAAGAUCAUUCCCGGUAAAUUGGAAGUAACGGGUCAAGGCGUUGGCUGUGCGUUGGUACAGACGUCAGUUAAGUAUAAUAUCCCUGAACCGGAAGAUGUUCCAGCAUUUGAUAUUAAAGUUGAUGUUCGUACGAGACGUUCAGCCCCUGAUGAAGAAACGACCCAAUGUAGUCCAUUAAAACUGGAAAUAACCACAAAGUGGCUCAAGGAGGUUGUUUCCAACAUGCGUGAGAGAGGAAUCGUUGGAAAGUCUAAGGAAUGAUCCGGUGCUAAACUUCAAACGUUACGAUAUUGAUGGACAGAACGUACAGCUUUAUUUCGAUGAGAUCAGUGAUAUUACUUUCUCCAUU